CCCGCUCGCCAGGGGUCUCCCGCCGGUUUCCGCGGGAGUGAGACAUACCCUUCGAACCUGAUGCGGUUGAGACCGCCGUAGGGAGGUGGAUGCGCCUCGCU
rnacentral:ncRNA from 2 species